rnacentral:rRNA from 1 species
GAACUUAAGCAUAUCAAUAAGCGGAGGAAAAGAAACUAACAAGGAUUCCCCUAGUAACUGCGAGUGAAGCGGGAAAAGCUCAAAUUUAAAAUCUGGCGUGCCUCUGGUCGUCCGAGUUGUAGUUUAGAGAAGCGUUUUCUGUGUUGGACCGUGUAUAAGUCUCUUGGAACAGGGCGUCAUAGAGGGUGAGAAUCCCGUCUUUGACACGGACUACCAAUGCUUUGUGAUACGCUCUCAAAGAGUCGAGUUGUUUGGGAAUGCAGCUCAAAAUGGGUGGUAAAUUCCAUCUAAAGCUAAAUAUAGGCGAGAGACCGAUAGCGAACAAGUACCGUGAGGGAAAGAUGAAAAGCACUUUGGAAAGAGAGUUAAACAGUACGUGAAAUUGCUGAAAGGGAAACGCUUGAAGUCAGUCACGUCUGCCAGGACUCAGCCUUGCUUCUGCUUGGUGUACUUUCUGGUUGGAUGGGCCAACAUCGAUUUCGACCGUUGGAGAAAGGCUUUGGGAAUGUGGCACCUUCGGGUGUGUUAUAGCCCUUUGUCGUAUACAACGGUUGGGAUCGAGGACUGCAGCAUGCCUUCAUGGCCGGGGUUCGCCCACGUACAUGCUUAGGAUGUUGGCAUAAUGGCUUUAAGCGACCCGUCUUGAAACACGGACCAAGGAGUCUAACAUGCCUGCGAGUGUUUGGGUGGAAAACCCAUGCGCGUAAUGAAAGUGAUAGCUGAGAUCCUCUCAUCAGGAGCAUCAGCGCCUGGACUUGAUCUACGGAGACGGUCCUACGGUAGAGCAUGUAUGUUGGGACCCGAAA